rnacentral:lncRNA from 1 species
UCAAAAGUUGUGGAGGAUGUUCCCUAGGGGAACCGAAUAGGUCAAGGGGGGUUAAGGGGUAUGGUUUGAUUUCAACUAGAUGGUUAGUGUCUAGUUAUGUUAAUUAGGAGUUUAAAUUAAGUUAUUAGUGUGUUGUGAAAUAUAACGGGUGUUAGGGUAUUCGGGACCCUAAUUGGCUCAGAAAAGUAUAAACAAUGUUAUUGGCAACAUUUUUAUGUUCCGGGUAAAGUCCGCUAGUUCGGUUUGAUACUGUUCCGUUAAAGUGCUUAAUUAAUCCGUAAAGUGUCAUACAUGUAUAUUUUUGUAACGUUUUUAAUUUCUAACACUUAGGAAAUUAUAACGGACUAUUUAGUGACUUUUCUGCAUACUACUAGUAUGUUAACAAGCGCAUGUAAGCAUAACACAGAUAUCAGAAAGCAGUUAAGUAAUUCCACACAGUCGUCAAGCACUUUAAUUAUCAAUAAUAAAUUGUACGGAAUACAUGGAAUUUUGAGGGUUGUCACAUUCUCCCCCUGUUAAGAAAAUUUCGUCCCAAAAAUUAGCUCGUGGUUACUGAGGAAGCUAGUUAUGUUGCGUUGGUUUCCUGGUUUUCCUGGGGUGUCACAUCAUCCCCCCGUUGAUUUGGAAUUUCGUCCCGAAAUUCUGCAGUAGCUUCAGUCUCAGUAGUGGUUGUGUUUUUCUUAAACAGCUGGGGGUACUUGAGUUUCAUUGGUUUUCACGUUCCCAGGUGUACUCUGGGCCACGACGGGAAUCCCAACGAACUCGGACAAGAGGUAUCCUGGUGCGCUUGAGAAUCUUAACAUCUCGAUCCGUAAUCUCUACUGGUUCCUCGACGAAUCGCAGCUGGUCGUCGAUAGUGAGCUCCUUGAGGGGAACUAUGAGGGUCUCAUCUGACAGACACUUCUUCAGAUUCGACACAUGGAAAACGUUGUGAACUCCGCUGAGUUCUUUAGGUAGAUUCAGCCUGUAGGCCACCUUGCCAAUCUUCUCAAUGAUUUCAAAGGGUCCAACGUAUCACGGGUUGAGUUUGCCUCGUUUGCCAAAACAAACUACACCUUUCCAAGGUGAGACUUUGAGUAGCACUCGAUCCCCAACCUGGAACUCGAGUGGCUUUCUUCGCUUAUCAGCAUAGCUUUUCUGACGGUCGCGAGCUGCCGCAAUUCGUUGUCGUAUCUGAGCAAUUUUCUCGGUUGUAUCUACUACGAGUUCUGGGCCAGUGAUUUGACUGUCACCAACCUCUGCCCAGCAAAGAGGUGAUCGGCACUUCCGUCCAUACAAUGCCUCGAAUGGAGCGGCCUGGAUGCUGGUGUGCCAUUGCCGAAGUCGAUUACUGAUGUGCGUGAAGUGUGUUAUAUUUUAGAUGUAUAUUUUAAGCCCUUUUUACACUUUUAGCCAAGUUUUAAAUUUAUAAAACACGAUAUUUACUAACACUAAACACACAUAUGAGCAAGUGCACCCAUCGUGGACGUAGUAUAGUGUUGGUAAGAUACCGAGGUCGUCCAAGGACACAAGAGCUUUUAGUACCGGUUUAUCCUCAACGUCUAACCAAAUCAAAAUGUUAGAAAAGAUUUUUAAACUAAGAAAAUAAAACUAACUA